GACGAACGCUGGCGGCGUGCUUAACACAUGCAAGUCGAACGGAAAGGCCCUGCUUUUGUGGGGUGCUCGAGUGGCGAACGGGUGAGUGACACGUGAGUAACCUGCCCUUGACUUUGGGAUAACUUCAGGAAACUGGGGCUAAUACCGGAUAGGAGCUCCUGCUGCAUGGUGGGGGUUGGAAAGUUUCGGCGGUUGGGGAUGGACUCGCGGCUUAUCAGCUUGUUGGUGGGGUAGUGGCUUACCAAGGCUUUGACGGGUAGCCGGCCUGAGAGGGUGACCGGCCACAUUGGGACUGAGAUACGGCCCAGACUCCUACGGGAGGCAGCAGUGGGGAAUAUUGCACAAUGGGCGGAAGCCUGAUGCAGCAACGCCGCGUGCGGGAUGACGGCCUUCGGGUUGUAAACCGCUUUCGCCUGUGACGAAGCGUGAGUGACGGUAAUGGGUAAAGAGGCACCGGCUAACUACGUG
rnacentral:rRNA from 1 species